CCAUCUGUACAUCUUGUCAGGUUUUUGAUGAGCUUUACUUUAAUAUUUAAAUCUAGCAGUGCUUUGUUCCCUCAUCUUGAGUCAUCUGAUCAUUUGAGUCUGAUUUUGAAUGUUUGCAUGGAGUUGAUCAAUAUUUAAUAAAGCAGAUAUUUCCAUGAGCACUCAGUGAGUUUAAUAAGUUCAUGUCAGAUCCUUGUUGUCUUGUUGUGUUCUGUACGUUUCUGAGACUUUUCUGAGCAGCACUCUGGACUCUGCGUGUCCACCAUUCAGCUGGAUUAUCAUAUUCAUAUUUCAGAUGAGAACAGAGGUGAGAAACAUAAAGUGUGUUCAUAAAGUCAUGUAUUUCCCUCUGUGUGAUGUGACUCUGAGCUGCAGACCAAGAGUCACAAUGUCUUCCUUCCACCUCACAGCUGAUUUCUAUAAAGAUGGCGUCUUCAUCAGGAGCAGCUCCACAGGAAACAUGACCAUCCACAGUGUUUCUCCAUCUGAUGAAGGACUCUACAGAUGUAACUGUGUCUCUGGAGCUGGAGGAUCAGCAGACAGCUGGCUGACUGUCAGAGCGCCUCCUGCAGGCCGUGAUCCUCCACCUCCUCUGCUGUCUGUCUCCGCUCUGCUGCGCCACCUGGUGGCUGGAGCUCCUUACCUGCUGUCCACCAUCUUACUGGGACUCAUUUACAGAGACAGAGCGAGAGAAAGACAUAACUACUGUUCCUGCUGCUGUUCAUUACUGGGCAGGGUUUGUCCCUGAUUUGGAAUGGCGUAACAUCUGGAGUCUACCUUAUAAGUAUCUGCUCACUAAUAAAGUGAGAGAAGUGACCUUUAAGCUGAGGCACAGACACUACCCUGCUAAACAGUAUCUGCUAACAUUUAAAAAGGACCUGUGUGUUGACUGAUCGUUAUGUGAUGUGUUUCCUGAAACUGCUGUCCAUCUUUUUUUGGCAAUGUCUCCACUCUAGUAAGUUUUGGAAAGACUUCACCCAUUUUAUUGUUGUUAAGAUAGACUCUGACUUUGGUUUAUAUUGGAAAGAUGUAUUGUUUGGUGUCCAUAGCAACGAAAAGAAAAGACAUAGAAAAUGAUAUAUUAUUAACUUAUUAAUUAUUUUAGGAAAAUGCCACAUUCAUGAGGAUAAAUUUAGUAACGCAAAACCUUCAUUUAUUGCAUUUGAAAAGGAAAGCAAACAAUAUGUAAAAACUAUUAGUGAUUCAAACAAUAAGAAAGCUGCUAAAACUCAUGAGUUAUGUACUUUGCUUAAUAUUUUCAAAUGAAACGCCCACUGGCUGCUAUGUUGUUGUAUAUUAACGACUGUGUAUCUGUGUUUUUCUAUUGUUUGUUUGUAAUGUUUCCUGUAAAUCAAUCAAAUAAAAUAAAAACUCUGCAGGAGAAGAACUGACGAGCUUACAGGAGUUAUUUAUCUUCAAAUGCCGGUAAGUAGGGUUUGCAGCAUGUGCACGUUGUUAGAAUAGAUGUGUAUUUUAAAUAUGACAAAAUAUUGCUUUCACAGUAGCAAAGUUAAUGUUUACAACAGCAAAAUUAUUAUAUAAACUGAACAAUAUCUCAGUAGGAAGAAAUACUCUAGUCAGCCUUGGCUGCAGCCUCUCUCAGCAACCAGUCUCCUUCAAACCAUCAGCGCUACAGCAGGUCAGUCACAGUGAGCCAGUUCCAAGCGCUGUCAGCAAUCUUUGCAUCUUGUUAUUAUCACAUAACACUUGUUUAAUCAGCUACCAUCUCUCCCAUGCUUGUUUUAAUAUCUACAGUCUCAGAUCAACACAGCCCUCCAAGACUUCAAGCAGCAGCAGCCCCAGCAACCCCUCAACAGCAACUGUAUACCCCAUCAGCACCUGCCCCUCCAAAGGUCUCUGCACGGCCCUGUCUCACAGAAAUACGUGAAAUGACCACGACCUCUUAACACCACAUUCCGUGGUGGCAGCACGUGAUGGGUUGAAAUUACGUGCCGGUACCACGGAAACAAUGCCAAUGUAAAGUCAGUUAGGAUCCAUUGUCGUGGUGGACACACGGAUUCCCUGAUUCAACAACGUCACAUCAACCUGGUUUUCCUCAGUGAUGUCUUUAACAUUCCUGUACACACACAAAAACAUGAAAGUGUCCUUGAUAACUCAACAAUAUGACAGGUUAAUGUCAAGGCCAUGAAAUAAAAUCAAUGUAUUUUGCCAGCUUUUGAUAGCGUAGGGCUUUAAGAGCAUUGUGCUGUGGGCGGAUGGAGCACGUUCCACUACUGUUUUGUAGCUACUGUCUGCCGUCUGUGGGCUUCAUUCCAUUUCAAAUUGCCGUCCGUCUGCCGUAACCGAAUCCAAAUGCUACUAAUAAAUAAAUAAAUAAGAAGAAAAAAAUAAGGCUGAGCACGGAAGAACCAGAGAGGAUUUUAUUCU